rnacentral:rRNA from 1 species
UACGAAGGGGGCUAGCGUUGCUCGGAAUCACUGGGCGUAAAGCGCACGUAGGCGGCUUGUUAAGUCAGGGGUGAAAUCCUGGAGCUCAACUCCAGAACUGCCUUUGAUACUGGCGAGCUUGAGUCCGGGAGAGGUGAGUGGAACUGCGAGUGUAGAGGUGAAAUGCGCAGAUAUCGGGAGGAACACCAAUGGCGAAGGCAGCUCGCUGGGACGGUACUGACGCUGAGGCGCGAAAGCGUGGGGAGCGAACAGG